GAACCACCACCCCCUGGGGCCACACCUUCCCAGGGCAGCCUGAGCUCACGCCCGCGCGUCUCCAUCUCUACCCAGCACUGUGUGCCUGCGUGCGCCUGGCAUGACUGCUCCUGCGUCUCUGGCAUUCGAGGAGGACAGAGAGAGCAGUCACCAUGAAGAAACCGAGGCACAGGGAGGUUGAGGAGUCAGACAGUCUGGCUCAGAGUCUGCAUCUUCGACCACGAUGGAUGCUGCCCCAUGUGGAACCUACGCCCGCUUCUUCCUGGGCAGCCACAGCAGGGAGGAGCAAAGGUCCUAUACUGUCCAGUAAGGUCAGACGGCGCCUAUGCCCCGCGUGAAGCCCCAUUCAGGUUUCUUGCAUCGUCAUAGGAGACAUCCUGAGAUGUUAGCAGCUUGUCAUUGAUCCAGAGAGUGAGCUGUGGACAGAAAGAGGGAGUCCAACAGUCUCUGAGUGGACCUCUUUGGCCAGGGGCUCAGGGCAGGACCUGCUGCCCACCUCUGGCUGCAGGAGGUGGCCCAGGGGAGGAAUACAGCAGAGUACUACUCUCCAAAACUCUGGGUCCCUAACUCUCAGCACAAGCAACUUCACCUGUCUUGUCUCAAGGCUAAAAUAUCAGCCCCUGAGUGUCUUCUCAUACACUCUAGCCAAGUGUAUGCAGUGUGACACCCAGGAUAUUUAUGCUUCUCUCCAUUUUUCCAGGACCUAGGACAGGGCCUGGCCUACUGUAGGACGUGUUUACUGGAUGGAUGGAUAAAUCCACCCUUUGCCAGUAGGGUGAGAAAUCAUUAAUAAACACAGAGAAAAUGUUAUCUGAGGAAGAAGCCAAGGGCAGAACCUGUAAUUAACAAUGAGGGAAGAACUCUGAUGAGCAUCCAAUGUUUCCAAGAUGAGCUGGCAGCACACCAAGCCUGGAUGGUGCCAAGGGCAGAGGCAGACGGAAACAAAGUUGUUUGGGCCGAGAGGAAAGGGGUAUGAGGAUGGGAGAGAGAAAGAAGUCAGAGAAAGUACCAUUCCACACAGAAGUACCACUCAUGGAGGGACUCUGGAGUGCAGGUUAAAAACCUUCCUCGCACAACUCAUCCCAGGCUGAACAAGGACCUUCUGAGUCAGCUCUCCAACUGGGAGGCUUGUCAAAAAUGCUGCUCUCUCUCUCUCUCUCUCACUCACCCCUUGAGGUUCUGAUUCCUCUGGGCCUGAGUGGGGCCCAGGACUUUGCAUUUCACAAGGGCCAGGACUGGCUCCAUAAUGUGCAGGGCCCAGCGUAAAAUGGAAAUGCUCAAAAUUAUUAAGAAUUUCAAGAUGGCAACCACAGAGCAUUAAACCAAGCAUGGGGCCCUAGAUGAAUGCACAGGCGGUAUGUCCUUGAGGCCAGCCUUGAUCAGGGCCCUAGGGGACUCUUUAUACAGAUAGCCCUCAGGCCACUCUUUGGGAAACCCUGCCAUGGAGUAGGCAAAUUAAAAUUUGUAGAUUUGGGGAAAAAAAUAAUAGAACCAAAGAUUCUAGAGGAUGACCUAAGCUAUCAAAUACCCAGAGUUCCCCUCAUGAAAUUCCAGACUCCCAACUUAGAAAAGAUCUCUGUGGACUUGUGUUCCCUUCCUUUCCCUUUCCCUUCCCUUUCCUUAUUUUUUUAGUAAUCUCUACACCCAACACAGUGCUCAAACCCAUGAUCCCGAGGUCAAGAGCUGCACACUCCUCUACCUGAGCCAGCCAGGUGUUCCCCCCAUACCCGUGAACUUUCUACCUCUAGGCCACUUUGCUCCUAGAAGGGAACCUCCUGCAAAGUGUCCUGCCUUGCUG